AGAUUGAACGCUGGCGGCGUGCCUAACACAUGCAAGUCGAGCGGUAACAGGUGUAGCAAUACAUGCUGACGAGCGGCGAACGGGUGAGUAAUGCUUCGGAAUCUACCUUAUGGUGGGGAAUAACUAGCCGAAAGGUUAGCUAAUACCGCAUACGUCCGUACGGGAGAAAGCAGGGGAUCGCAAGACCUUGCGACCAAAAGAUGAGCCGAAGUCGGAUUAGCUAGUUGGUAGGGUAACGCCUACCGAAGGCGACGAUCCGUAGCUGGUCUGAGAGGACGACCAGCCACACUGGAACUGAGACACGGUACAGA
rnacentral:rRNA from 1 species